UCUUGAUGCCCUCUGGCUGCUCACAUUCUAGAAUCUAGAAUGUGAGCAGGCAGAGGGCAUCAAGAUCUAGAAUGUGAGCAGCCAGAGGGCAUCAAGA
rnacentral:pre_miRNA from 1 species